AUGCAUGCAGGUGCACAUCCUGGAGGACCAGAACAGCUUCCUUGGCCACAUGGUACGAUUAAUUUGCAUCACUGCAUGACACUCCUAUAUAAUCUGCUAGCACUCCUAUAUAUGUUGUGGCUUCCUGAAUGUGUCUCCACUCUUUGUCAGAUGAGCGAGGAGGGGCAGCAACGUGCUGCUGUGGAGGCGUCGGCGGUGGUGGCGGAGCUCAUGGCGCCGGUGCCACCGGGGACACUGUUCGGGGGCUUCUUCCCAGAGGUGGAGGAGGAGGAGGAGGCAGCGACUUCGCUGCGGCUGUGGCAGUAG
rnacentral:rRNA from 1 species